GGGCGAAAGCCUGACGCAGCCAUGCCGCGUGGAUGAUGAAGGUCUUAGGAUUGUAAAAUCCUUUCACCGGGGACGAUAAUGACGGUACCCGGAGAAGAAGCCCCGGCUAANUUCGUGCCAGCAGCCGCGGUAAUACGAAGGGGGCUAGCGUUGCUCGGAAUUACUGGGCGUAAAGGGAGCGUAGGCGGGUCGUUAAGUUGGGGGUGAAAGCCCGGGGCUCAACCUNGGAAAUGCCUUCAAUACUGGCGACCUUGAGUGUGGGAGAGGUGAGUGGAACUCCGAGUGUAGAGGUGAAAUUCGUAGAUAUUCGGAAGAACACCAGUGGCGAAGGCGACUCACUGGCCCAUUACUGACGCUGAGGCUCGAAAGCGUGGGGAGCAAACAGGAUUAGAUACCCUGGUAGUCCACGCCNUAAACGAUGAGUNCUAGUNGUNGGCAUGCAUCCANNUCGGUGNCG
rnacentral:rRNA from 1 species